UACGUAGGGUGCAAGCGUUGUCCGGAAUUAUUGGGCGUAAAGGGCUCGUAGGCGGCCAACUAAGUCAGACGUGAAAUCCCUCGGCUUAACCGGGGAACUGCGUCUGAUACUGGAUGGCUUGAGUUCGGGAGAGGGAUGUGGAAUUCCAGGUGUAGCGGUGAAAUGCGUAGAUAUCUGGAGGAACACCGGUGGCGAAGGCGGCAUCCUGGACCGACACUGACGCUGAUGAGCGAAAGCCAGGGGAGCAAACGGG
rnacentral:rRNA from 1 species